rnacentral:tRNA from 6 species
GCGGAAGUGUCGGAAUGGCAGACGAGCUAGAUUCAGGUUCUAGUGCUCGCAAGGGCGUGUGGGUUCAAGUCCCAUCUUCCGCA